GACGAACGCUGGCGGCGUGCUUAACACAUGCAAGUCGAACGGAAAGGCCCUGCUUUUGUGGGGUGCUCGAGUGGCGAACGGGUGAGUAACACGUGAGUAACCUGCCCUUGACUUUGGGAUAACUUCAGGAAACUGGGGCUAAUACCGGAUAGGAGCUCCUGCUGCAUGGUGGGGGUUGGAAAGUUUCGGCGGUUGGGGAUGGACUCGCGGCUUAUCAGCUUGUUGGUGGGGUAGUGGCUUACCAAGGCUUUGACGGGUAGCCGGCCUGAGAGGGUGACCGGGCAAAUUGGGAAUGGGGUCAGGGCCCGACUCCCACGGGAGGCAGAAGGGGGGAAUAUUGCAAAAUGGGCGGAAGCCCGAUGCAGCAACGCCGGGUGCGGGAUGACGGCCCUCGGGUUGUAAACCGCUUUCGCCUGUGACGAAGCGUGAGGGACGGUAAUGGGUAAAGAAACACCGGCUAAAUACGUG
rnacentral:rRNA from 1 species